GAUGAACGCUGGCGGCGUGCCUAAUACAUGCAAGUCGAGCGAACAGAUGAGGAGCUUGCUCCUCUGACGUUAGCGGCGGACGGGUGAGUAACACGUGGAUAACCUACCUAUAAGACUGGGAUAACUUCGGGAAACCGGAGCUAAUACCGGAUAAUAUAUUGAACCGCAUGGUUCAAUAGUGAAAGACGGUUUUGCUGUCACUUAUAGAUGGAUCCGCGCCGCAUUAGCUAGUUGGUAAGGUAACGGCUUACCAAGGCAACGAUGCGUAGCCGACCUGAGAGGGUGAUCGGCCACACUGGAACUGAGACACGGUCCAGACUCCUACGGGAUGCAGCAGUAGGGAAUCUUCCGCAAUGGGCGAAAGCCUGACGGAGCAACGCCGCGUGAGUGAUGAAGGUCUUCGGAUCGUAAAACUCUGUUAUUAGGGAAGAACAAAUGUGUAAGUAACUAUGCACGUCUUGACGGUACCUAAUCAGAAAGCCACGGCUAACUACGUG
rnacentral:rRNA from 1 species